UGCUCUGCAUGCAUCACUAUGGAACAGCAACAGAGACAUGAAUUCAGGCCGUCUUGGGAUUUGUGCAGAGAAGUACCAUACAUUCAAGAUGAGCAGAUGCCAAAGAAACGAGUGCGGUGUUUGAAAUGGUUUUCUUGUGCCAUCGUUGGCAUACUUGUCUUCGUCCUUGCACUUCUCAGUAAAACAUCAUUUCUGCUAUUGAUUACAUUUGGGAACAAUCACACGGAGAUUAUAUGUUCAGAUCAAAAACCGACCGCCCUACUUGGCAUUGGCUUCGUUCUGGUUGUACCAAGUGUUCUCCUUCUGCUAAAAAGCACAUGGAAGUUUAUUUUCAAGAGUGCAACCAUG